UUUUUUUUUUUUUUUUUUCUAAAUGGUGCACGUGAUAUAAAAGUUAUUUUUCUUCAUAUUGCCCCUUUUAUUUUCUCUGCUGCUUGAGAAAGUAGUAAGUUUGAGGCAUCAGUUUCUUAAGUUUGAAGCAUCAGUUUCUUACAACUUUAAUUGUUAUCAUUCUUAUAAUUUUUUUUUUGAGAAUUAAAACAUAAUUUUGGACAUGUGUGUUUGAAGUUUCUACCAAGCAGGCCCACCAAGCUCACUUGUCCCUUCCAAUUUCUGUUAUUAUCUUGGGAGAUUCUCUUCAUGAUUUAUACUCAUGUAAUUAAAAGUUGGGUGUGUUAAUUGAAGUUCUUGAGAUUUAACAGUGAAAUUAAAGUUAUGAAGACAUCAAUCAAGUAAUUAGUGUUCUUUUGGAGAUGAUGUUAAUGGUAGUGAAGAUUUGAAGGAAGUGGGUUUGAAUACAUUGUGAAGAUGUUCCAAGUCUUGAAGAAUUUCAAGUCAUCUUUAAACUGACACUUGCAAGGUCAGCAGCCAAAUGCUUGCUUUCUCAUGCUUAUCAUGACCAUGGGAUUCUGUUGGUAAAUUUUAUUGGCAAAAGGUUUAUGGCGUGCACUAUCCCAGCCUCUCUAGUUGCCAUUGAGACACUUAACAUUGUUCUCGUUCUUUUUAAUUUGUUUGUUGCAGGGAACCUCGUGGUUUUGGUUUUGUUCAAUAUUCAGAUCCUCAUGAUGCUGCUGAGGCGAAACAUCAUAUGGAUGGUAGGGUUCUUCUUGGUCGGGAACUGACAGUUGUGUUUGCAGAGGAGAAUAGGAAGAAGCCGGUUGAUAUGAGGGCAAGGGAGCGAGGGAGGUAGACUUUACUUUUUUCUUGUUUUCAUUGCUAUAUGUAAUAUACAUUACUCAAAAUACAUACUAGGAUUUAGGAGUCCAUGCAAACACUUUCUAACAGUCAACCAAAAGAAGAAAAGAGGGAGAACAGAAUUGAGAAAUGAUUCAAAUGAAGACAAAAAAACUCAAGCAACUCCACUAAUUAUUAAUUACCUUAACUGAAGAGAAGAAUAGUUGUUUAGAAAAAAGUUCAUGCCAAUAAAAAUAAAGUACUGAAUCUCAAAUCUAUAUAACUGUGGAGAUUGAGUGCCACUUAUUAUUGGAAAGAAGUCACUGUUAUUUUCUUAAUUACUUUUAGAAAUGAGCUUGCAAGUCUUGCAGUUAAUGUGCUUUAAUUUUUCUUUGGAACAAGAGUUUUAGUGAUUCUGGUAGAUUUAUAUUGUGUUGAUUUGCCAGUUUCCAUGAAUCAUGAUAGACCUUUUUUUUUGUGAUUUUCUUUAAAUUCUUAAUGUUCUUAUUUACAAUCAUAAGACUUUAAUAACUGUGUGUAUGAUUUUUCUAAUGCUUUCAAUUUGUUUUAGGGGCCGAUUUCGUGAUCGAAGGCGAUCCCCACCACGUUAUUCACGCUCACCUCGCUAUUCCCGUUCACCUCCACGCAAUGCAAGGUCUCGGUCCCUUAGUCGUGAUUAUCAUUCUUCUCCUAAAAGACGACAUUACUCAAGGUAUGUGAAUGUAACUUUUCAGUUACUGUUUUAUCAUUCAGAAUUCUUCUUUCAAGCUGCCAAAACACCAAAGCUCUGUAAAUUUACUAGAAAAUGUGAGAACUUCUUUGAGUUCUCUUGAAAGAAGCAAUUAGCAAUUAUGAUUCGUUCAGUGGCUAUUUAAUUUUACCCAGAUUUUCUUUUUAAAAGAAAUGGAUGGAUUUCUUUAGAGCAGUUUCUGUCAUGAAUUUAGUUCUUUUGCUGGAUUUUUUUUCUUCCUGUUGAAGUGAACUGCAAAAGUAUUUUUGUUGUUUUUUCAAUCCUCCUCCCUCUUGUUUUGGCUUGAGCUAACAAAUUAUCGUGAUUGAAGCUCAAUCAUCCCAAAUCCAAGCACUAUUUUUACUUAUCUACCAUAUAUAUAUUUUUGCUUAUAUCUAUUGUUUAAGUUUAUAAAAUUAGCUUUCAGAAACCAUCACACGGAGAUUCUCCAUGGCCAUAUUGCUUGCCAAACACCUUAUAUAUUAGUAUCGGGUCUCAAUCCUACAUUUUUCUUAUAAACCUUCCCGAUUUCUUAGAUCCAUAUCUGUACACCUCGUGGUCAUAUUGUCUGGACUGAUGUGGGAUCCCCAAUAUAGUGCACCUUGCUAUCUGUCGUACAUGCAUAUCGAAUGUGAUCCUUAAGUUGUCCCUCUGCUUUUUGAAAUCAUCCUCUGGCAUGCUAAGAGCUUCAAUACUCGAUGGUUUUGCUUGAGUUGGUUAUGCUGUGUCAUUCUCUCUCUAUCUAUUAUAAAAUGCAUAUGCGUACGCGGCUCUUUCUUGUGAGGCAGAUCUGUUUCACCCCAGGAGAAGAGGUAUAGUCAAGAGAGGUCAUACUCGCAUUCAAGGAGCCGCAGCAGAACUCCUAAUAGGGGUCAAAGCCAGGGCCCAAGAAGCCGAAGCUGGAGCCCAAAAAGAAGCAGAAGCCGCAGCCCAAAUCACGAUGAAUACCCUAGGAAAAACAAUGGAGAUAGGUCUCCCAGUCAGUGAGCUACUGGGAAGGGACGAUUGUAAUGCUACUUGUUCUCUGGAUCAUGUGUUGAUACUGGUGGUGUAGGUUUUGUUGUUUGUUGUUUUUAAGUUUAUAGGAUGCUUUUUUGAAGUAAAUGUGUGGGAAAAUUUUAAUUCAAGCAUGUUGAGAUUUGCAUUAAUUUUGUUGGCUUAGUAAUGGGUUAUUGCCAUUUGUUCACUUCAAUACCAUUGAAGUGAAAUUUUUUUUUUCCAUUUUUUCACAAAGUAGCAUUCUAAAUAUAAUAAUUGCAAGCUACUAAAAGUUAUU
rnacentral:misc_RNA from 1 species